UACAGGGGGGGCAAGCGUUGUUCGGAAUUACUGGGCGUAAAGGGCUCGUAGGUGGCCAACUAAGUCGGACGUGAAAUCCCUCAGCUUAACUGGGGAACUGCAUCCGAUACUGGAUGGCUUGAGUUUGGGAGAGGGAUGCGGAAUUCCAGGUGUAGCGGUGAAAUGCGUAGAUAUCUGGAGGAACACCGGUGGCGAAGGCGGCAUCCUGGACCAACACUGACGCUGAGGAGCGAAAGCCAGGGGAGCAAACGGG
rnacentral:rRNA from 1 species